rnacentral:rRNA from 1 species
UACGGGGGGGGGUAAGCGUUGUUCGGAAUUACUGGGCGUAAAGGGCUCGUAGGCGGCCAACUAAGUCAUACGUGAAAUCCCUCAGCUUAACUGGGGAACUGCGUGUGAUACUGGAUGGCUUGGAUUUGGGAGAGGGAUGCGGAAUUCCAGGUGUAGCGGUGAAAUGCGUAGAUAUCAGGAGGAACACCGGUGGCGAAGGCGGGUCUCUGGGCAACAACUGACGCUGAGGAGCGAAAGCGUGGGGAGCGAACAGG